AUACGGAGGGUCCGAGCGUUAUCCGGAUUUAUUGGGUUUAAAGGGAGCGUAGGCGGAUGUUUAAGUCAGUUGUGAAAGUUUAAGGCUCAACCUUGAAAUUGCAGUUGCUACUGUACGACUUGAGGGCUUUAAAUGCGGACGGAAUUCGUGGCGUAGCGGUGAAAUGCUUAGAUAUCACGAAGAACUCCAAUUGCGAAGGCGGCUCACAGGACUGUAUCUGACGCUGAUGCUCGAAAGUGUGGGUAGCAAACAGGAUUAGAUUCCCUGGUAGUCCACACAGUAAACGGUGAAUACUCGCUGUUUGCGAUAUACAGUAAGCGGCCAAGCGAAAGCGUUAAGUAUGCCGCCUGGGGAGUACGCCGGCAACGGUGA
rnacentral:rRNA from 1 species